rnacentral:rRNA from 1 species
GACGAACGCUGGCGGCGUGCUUAACACAUGCAAGUCGAACGGUGAAGCGCCUUCCUUUUUGGUGGGUGUGGAUGAGUGGCGAACGGGUGAGUAACACGUGAGUAACCUGCCCCCUUCUUCUGGAUAACCGCAUGAAAGUGUGGCUAAUACGGGAUAUUCUGGGUCUGUCGCAUGAUGGGUCUGGGAAAGAUAUUGUUUCGGUGGGGGAUGGGCUCGCGGCCUAUCAGCUUGUUGGGGGGGUGAUGGCCUACCCAGGCGGUGACGGGUAGCCGGCCGGAGAGGGUGGACGGUCACGCUGGGACUGAGACACCGCCCAGACUCCUACGGGAGGCAGCAGUGGGGAAUAUUGCACAAUGGGCGCAAGCCUGAUGCAGCGACGCCGCGUGAGGGAUGGAGGCCUUCGGGUUGUGAACCUCUUUCGCCAGUGAAGCAGGCCUGCCUCGUUUGUGGGUGGGUUGACGGUAGCUGGAUAAGAAGCGCCGGCUAACUACGUG